rfam:Oryza glumipatula chromosome 7, whole genome shotgun sequence.
AUCCCAUGAUGAGGACAGACGGCGACAUAUUCCUGUAGUCUUUCCCAAGCUUCAGGAAUGGUUUCAUCCCUCGUCUGCUGGAAGCUGGAUAUUCUUCCACGAAGAGC